UACAGAGGGGGCAAGCGUUAUUCGGAAUUAUUGGGCGUAAAGGGCGCGUAGGCGGCCUGGCAAGUGGAAGGUGAAAUCCCUCGGCUUAACCGAGGAACUGCCUCCCAAACUGCUUGGCUUGAGACCGGGAGAGGUGAGUGGAACUGCGAGUGUAGAGGUGAAAUUCGUAGAUAUUGGGAGGAACACCGGUGGCGAAGGCGGGUCUCUGGGCCGAUACUGACGCUGAGGAGCGAAAGCGUGGGGAGCAAACAGG
rnacentral:rRNA from 1 species